rnacentral:rRNA from 1 species
AUGAACGCUAGCUACAGGCUUAACACAUGCAAGUCGAGGGGCAGCAUGGUCUUAGCUUGCUAAGGCCGAUGGCGACCGGCGCACGGGUGAGUAACACGUAUCCAACCUGCCGUCUACUCUUGGACAGCCUUCUGAAAGGAAGAUUAAUACAAGAUGGCAUCAUGAGUCCGCAUGUUCACAUGAUUAAAGGUAUUCCGGUAGACGAUGGGGAUGCGUUCCAUUAGAUAGUAGGCGGGGUAACGGCCCACCUAGUCUUCGAUGGAUAGGGGUUCUGAGAGGAAGGUCCCCCACAUUGGAACUGAGACACGGUCCAAACUCCUACGGGAGGCAGCAGUGAGGAAUAUUGGUCAAUGGGCGAGAGCCUGAACCAGCCAAGUAGCGUGAAGGAUGACUGCCCUAUGGGUUGUAAACUUCUUUUAUAAAGGAAUAAAGUCGGGUAUGGAUACCCGUUUGCAUGUACUUUAUGAAUAAGGAUCGGCUAACUCCGUGCCAGCAGCCGCGGUAAUACGGAGGAUCCGAGCGUUAUCCGGAUUUAUUGGGUUUAAAGGGAGCGUAGAUGGAUGUUUAAGUCAGUUGUGAAAGUUUGCGGCUCAACCGUAAAAUUGCAGUUGAUACUGGAUAUCUUGAGUGCAGUUGAGGCAGGCGGAAUUCGUGGUGUAGCGGUGAAAUGCUUAGAUAUCACGAAGAACUCCGAUUGCGAAGGCAGCCUGCUAAGCUGCAACUGACAUUGAGGCUCGAAAGUGUGGGUAUCAAACAGGAUUAGAUACCCUGGUAGUCCACACGGUAAACGAUGAAUACUCGCUGUUUGCGAUAUACUGCAAGCGGCCAAGCGAAAGCGUUAAGUAUUCCACCUGGGGAGUACGCCGGCAACGGUGAAACUCAAAGGAAUUGACGGGGGCCCGCACAAGCGGAGGAACAUGUGGUUUAAUUCGAUGAUACGCGAGGAACCUUACCCGGGCUUAAAUUGCAGAUGAAUUACGGUGAAAGCCGUAAGCCGCAAGGCAUCUGUGAAGGUGCUGCAUGGUUGUCGUCAGCUCGUGCCGUGAGGUGUCGGCUUAAGUGCUAUAACGAGCGCAACCCUUGUUGUCAGUUACUAACAGGUUCCGCUGAGGACUCUGACAAGACUGCCAUCGUAAGAUGUGAGGAAGGUGGGGAUGACGUCAAAUCAGCACGGCCCUUACGUCCGGGGCUACACACGUGUUACAAUGGGGGGUACAGAGGGCCGCUACCACGCGAGUGGAUGCCAAUCCCCAAAACCUCUCUCAGUUCGGACUGGAGUCUGCAACCCGACUCCACGAAGCUGGAUUCGCUAGUAAUCGCGCAUCAGCCACGGCGCGGUGAAUACGUUCCCGGGCCUUGUACACACCGCCCGUCAAGCCAUGGGAGCCGGGGGUACCUGAAGUGCGUAACCAGGAGGAGCGCCCUAGGGUAAAACUGGUGA